rnacentral:rRNA from 1 species
GACGUAGGGCGCGAGCGUUGUCCGGAUUUAUUGGGCGUAAAGAGCUCGUAGGCGGCUUGUCGCGUCGACUGUGAAAAACCUGUGGCUCAACUAUGGGUCUGCAGUCGAUACGGGCUAGCUAGAAUUCGGUAGGGGAGACUGGAAUUCCUGGUGUAGCGGUGAAAAUGCGCAGAUAUCAGGAGGAACACCGGUGGCGAAGGCGGGGUCUCUGGGGCAGUAACUGACGCUGAGGGACGAAAGCUAGGGGGAGCGAAAGGG